UACGUAGGUGGCAAGCGUUGUCCGGAAUUACUGGGUGUAAAGGGUGUGUAGGCGGGAAUGCAAGUCAGAUGUGAAAGACCGGGGCUCAACUCCGGGGCUGCAUUUGAAACUGUGUAUCUUGAGUGCAGGAGAGGAAAGCGGAAUUCCUAGUGUAGCGGUGAAAUGCGUAGAGAUUAGGAAGAACACCAGUGGCGAAGGCGGCUUUCUGGACUGUAACUGACGCUGGGGCACGAAAGCGUGGGGAGCGAACAGGAUUAGAUACCCUGGUAGUCCACGCUGUAAACGAUGGAUACUAGGUGUAGGGGUUUCAAUACCUCUGUGCCGGAGUAAACACAAUAAGUAUCCCACCUGGGGAGUACGAUCGCAAGGUUGAA
rnacentral:rRNA from 1 species